rnacentral:tRNA from 1 species
GCCUCCGUAGCUCAGGGGUUAGAGCACUGGUCUUGUAAACCAGGGGUCGGGAGUUCGACUCUCCCCGGGGGCA